UACGGAGGGUGCGAGCGUUGUCCGGAAUCACUGGGCGUAAAGGGCGCGUAGGCGGCGCGGGUAGUCUUCGGUGAAAGUUCAGGGCUCAACUCUGAAUCGGCCGGUGAUACUCCCGUGCUCGAGCACUGUAGAGGCAGGUGGAAUUCCGGGUGUAGCGGUGGAAUGCGUAGAGAUCCGGAAGAACACCGGUGGCGAAGGCGGCCUGCUGGGCAGUAGCUGACGCUGAUGCGCGACAGCGUGGGGAGCAAACAGG
rnacentral:rRNA from 1 species